UACGGGGGGGGCAAGCGUUGUUCGGAAUUACUGGGCGUAAAGGGCUCGUAGGUGGCCAACUAAGUCAGACGUGAAAUCCUCGGCUUAACCGGGGAACUGCGUCUGAUACUGGAUGGCUUGAGUUCGGGAGAGGGAUGCGGAAUUCCAGGUGUAGCGGUGAAAUGCGUAGAUAUCUGGAGGAACACCGGUGGCGAAGGCGGGUCUCUGGGCCGAUACUGACGCUGAGGAGCGAAAGCGUGGGGAGCGAACAGG
rnacentral:rRNA from 1 species